GUGUGUUAAACUUAAUACACACAUUUCAAUGGGAUGUCGUUGGACUUGUACUUAUGACGGUUUCAUGAAACGCUGCCCAGAUCCCCGACACCGAACACCUGGGGAGGUUUCACGAAACCGUCAUUAAGUCUAACUUUUUAGACAUCGUAUUGAAACGUGUGAUAGAGAUCUAACACGUGUUUCUACCAAAUCUCCACGAGCUUAGACUUAUGGCAGUUUCGAGAAACUAGCACUCGCUCUGAAUCUGGCGCAUCCACGGCCACGCUGGAAGCUCGGAUCUGACCGCCUGCGAUGCAUGCCCCGGACGCGACGGCAGCCCGCUCUCGAGCUAACUCUCCAUCGCAUCGUGCAGCUGUCUUUCUUCUCUUUCACGAACACGGUUGCCCGACUGAAACAACUAGACCACAUUAGUAUCCUGACAUCAAGAUAGGUCUCUAUUAUGUGCCCAUCCGUCUGAUUAAGUCUUCUUUGGAGCAAACUGUCAGACAUUUGCGGUAGUAUACAGCUGAAAUGGAAUUUCCGUUCAACCAAACAGUAUACUUCAAGGCUAUUUCUCAGCGACGAGGGUUAGCUCCAGGUAGCAGUAGCAGGCUGGAAGUAACACACAUGUGCAGUGUUUCAGUCGAAAACGAAUACCACCCAUUCAAAAUCGGUUAUAGGAUCUUGUCCAUAUGUCCAUAUUUUUGUAUGCAUGUGAAACAUGGACCAUGACAGCAGACAUUAAAAGAAGGAUACAGGCACUGGAGAUGAAAUGUUUCCGCAAACUCCUCAGUAUCUGGUAUAGAGAUCACAUAACCAACGAGGUAGUGAAAAUCAGAAUUGGAAACACCAUAGGGCCGUAUGAAGACCUCCUGACUUCAGUGAAAAGAUGCAAAGUAAAGUGGUAUGGGUAUGUCACAUGAUCAUUUGGACUGGCCAAGACUAUUCUACAUGGAACAGUACAAGGAGGGAGACGAAAAGGCAGGCAGAGGAAACGAUGGGAAGACAACAUUAACGAGUGACCUUGACUGAAACAUCAUACUUCGUAAAGCCAAGAACCACGAGGAGUGGAGGAAGCUGGUAGUAUAAAUCUUCAGUGGUGCCCCAAGGGUCAGCCAGACUGUGGGAUAGGUGAAGGUGAAGGUGAAGGAAGCUAAGAAUCAGAUAGUUAGACAUUAUAUUGGAUCAUUUAUCCUUUCCUUCAAAAGGAAUGUUGCUUUAUACUGUAGCACAUAAACAAUGCUUUUUAAUUGGCAAUAUUUCAGUUCAGUACGCUUGUUAUUAAUUUCAUCAAACAUUAAAAUGUAAAAGGGAGAAACACUGUCAUUUGAAAAUCAAAAUGUAAGUCAUAAAAAUUUCACUGUCUAACUAUCUGAAUCUUGUCAGGAUCCAUGUACGAGUUAGUGCAAUUCUUUUCUCUUCACUACAACCGCAUUGAUUUACUUUAAUAGCAUGUUACUAGGUACAUCAAUUGAUGAGAAAAAGCAGCAAAACGCUUUAAAUUUGUUGUAGUCUUAAAAUUAAAGUUGGAAGUUUCCUAAAAAGGGAAUUUUAGAACACUCCUUCAACUGACAUGCACGGAUGUUAUACUUAUGAAUUUCCAUACAUUAAUGUCUUUGUAAUGCAUGUUACCAAACAAAAAAAAGUAUCAUCAACCAUUCUUGUCAUUUCCUGUGCAAUUAUUUUCACAUCCUGGCUUAACAGUACAUAAACAGUGCUCUUUUAUUUUCAAUAUUUCAGAAAAAUGCAUUUGCAUUAUGAUACAUGCAGGUAUAGUUGGUCAAGUAAGAAUAUAUUUACAGCAUGCUCACUAUGAAUUGAUUAAAUCGCCAUUGAAUCUAAAAGGUAUGUUAUACCUCAUUGUAUAUUCAGAAGGAAAAAGUGUGAGGAUAGCUUUAAAAAAAAAAAAAAAUCAUGAGUAUCCAUAAUGAUGUGAAUAUGUACAUGUUUGUUUGUUGCAUAUGAUUCUUCCUUGGUAUCAAAGCUGUAAUAAUUGCAUAUUUAUGAUUCAGCAUAAUACUUUGUUCAUUACAAAAAAAAAUAUGUCAUAAUUUUCCAAAACGGUAGUGUAAAGAAUAAUGUAAGAUUGAGGUAAGAUUGUUACAUAUAUUCUCUAUACGUAUCAACUAAAAUGUAAGUUUUCAAAUGAGAUACUAUUUUGUCCCCAGAUGAAAUAAGUAAUGGAUCUUUUUUGUUAAAUGUCAGCAAAUGAUCUAAAUGAACAUGUGUUCGGGUAUAUCAAAUCUUGUACAUGUAGUUUCUAUAGCUAAUAUAGUUUGGAGGACUUAAAGAUAGAAAAACUGCUGAUUGAUUAAUUACCAUUGUUUGUAUUGUUCACUAUAACCAGCAAGUAAAGGGACAUUUAGUAGAUGCCAAGAAAGUAUUUCCAAAGCAAUUACAUUUCUCUUAUCCUGUAAUGUAUUUUUUGCGUCAAUAAAAGCAAAUGUGAGGGUUGUCCACAUAACAUCACAACUACAGAACAGUUUAAUUGAAAUUAACAUACAUAUUACAUGUAUAUAUGUGUAUUAUGGAAUAACUUAGAAUAUUUCAUAAUUUGUUAUUAUUAUCCAGUUCAUUACAUUUUUACCAAUGUAUUUCUUCAAUAUUUCUACUUUUCCUCAGAGCAUAUGCUGUGAACUAAUGGAUAUUCCUUGUCAGUUCCAUCAUGUUAUGUCAAUGGGCUUACACUGUAUGCGUGUACAUGUCCUUUUUGCAAUGUACAUGUGCUACGAAAAUGUCAACAAUAUUGUUUGAGAUAUAAAAUAUAGAGUUAACAAGUGAAUUAUUCA
rnacentral:lncRNA from 1 species